UACGUAGGGGGCAAGCGUUGUCCGGAAUCAUUGGGCGUAAGCGCGCGUUAGGCGGCCCGGUAAGUCCGCUGUCAAAAGUCCAGGGCUCAACCCUGGAAAGCCGGUGGAUACUGUCGGGCUAGAGUCCGGAAGAGGCGAGUGGAAUUCCUGGUGUAGCGGUGGAAUGCGCAGAUAUCAGGAGGAACACCGAGUGGCGAAGGCAGCUCGCUGGGACGGUACUGACGCUGAGGCGCGAAAGCGUGGGGAGCGAACAGGG
rnacentral:rRNA from 1 species